UUAAGCGACUAAGCGUACACGGUGGAUGCCCUGGCAGUCAGAGGCGAUGAAGGACGUGCUAAUCUGCGAAAAGCGUCGGUAAGGUGAUAUGAACCGUUAUAACCGGCGAUGUCCGAAUGGGGAAACCCAGUGUGAUUCGUCACACUAUCGUUAACUGAAUACAUAGGUUAACGAGGCGAACCGGGGGAACUGAAACAUCUAAGUACCCCGAGGAAGAGAAAUCAACCGAGAUUCCCCCAGUAGCGGCGAGCGAACGGGGAGCAGCCCAGAGUCUGAAUCAGCUUGUGUGUUAGUGGAACGGUCUGGAAAGUCCGACGGUACAGGGUGAUAGUCCCGUACACCAAAAUGCACAGGUUGUGAACUCGAAGAGUAGGGCGGGACACGUGGUAUCCUGUCUGAAUAUGGGGGGACCAUCCUCCAAGGCUAAAUACUCCUGACUGACCGAUAGUGAACCAGUACCGUGAGGGAAAGGCGAAAAGAACCCCGGCGAGGGGAGUGAAAAAGAACCUGAAACCGUGUACGUACAAGCAGUGGGAGCACCUUCGGGUGUGACUGCGUACCUUUUGUAUAAUGGGUCAGCGACUUAUAUUCUGUAGCAAGGUUAACCGUAUAGGGGAGCCGCAGGGAAACCGAGUCUUAACUGGGCGUUAAGUUGCAGGGUAUAGACCCGAAACCCGGUGAUCUAGCCAUGGGCAGGUUGAAGGUUGGGUAACACUAACUGGAGGACCGAACCGACUAAUGUUGAAAAAUUAGCGGAUGACUUGUGGCUGGGGGUGAAAGGCCAAUCAAACCGGGAGAUAGCUGGUUCUCCCCGAAAGCUAUUUAGGUAGCGCCUCGUGAAUUCAUCUUCGGGGGUAGAGCACUGUUUCGGCUAGGGGGUCAUCCCGACUUACCAACCCGAUGCAAACUACGAAUACCGAAGAAUGUUAUCACGGGAGACACACGGCGGGUGCUAACGUCCGUCGUGAAGAGGGAAACAACCCAGACCGCCAGCUAAGGUCCCAAAGUCAUGGUUAAGUGGGAAACGAUGUGGGAAGGCACAGACAGCCAGGAUGUUGGCUUAGAAGCAGCCAUCAUUUAAAGAAAGCGUAAUAGCUCACUGGUCGAGUCGGCCUGCGCGGAAGAUGUAACGGGGCUAAACCAUGCACCGAAGCUGCGGCAGCGACACUAUGUGUUGUUGGGUAGGGGAGCGUUCUGUAAGCCUGCGAAGGUGGCCUGUGAGGGUUGCUGGAGGUAUCAGAAGUGCGAAUGCUGACAUAAGUAACGAUAAAGCGGGUGAAAAGCCCGCUCGCCGGAAGACCAAGGGUUCCUGUCCAACGUUAAUCGGGGCAGGGUGAGUCGACCCCUAAGGCGAGGCCGAAAGGCGUAGUCGAUGGGAAACAGGUUAAUAUUCCUGUACUUGGUGUUACUGCGAAGGGGGGACGGAGAAGGCUAUGUUAGCCGGGCGACGGUUGUCCCGGUUUAAGCAUGUAGGCUGGUUAUCCAGGCAAAUCCGGAUAAUCAAGGCUGAGGUGUGAUGACGAGGCACUACGGUGCUGAAGUAACAAAUGCCCUGCUUCCAGGAAAAGCCUCUAAGCAUCAGGUAACAUUAAAUCGUACCCCAAACCGACACAGGUGGUCAGGUAGAGAAUACCAAGGCGCUUGAGAGAACUCGGGUGAAGGAACUAGGCAAAAUGGUGCCGUAACUUCGGGAGAAGGCACGCUGGUGUGUAGGUGAAGUCCCUGCGGAUGGAGCUGAGACCAGUCGAAGAUACCAGCUGGCUGCAACUGUUUAUUAAAAACACAGCACUGUGCAAACACGAAAGUGGACGUAUACGGUGUGACGCCUGCCCGGUGCCGGAAGGUUAAUUGAUGGGGUUAUCCGUAAGGAGAAGCUCUUGAUCGAAGCCCCGGUAAACGGCGGCCGUAACUAUAACGGUCCUAAGGUAGCGAAAUUCCUUGUCGGGUAAGUUCCGACCUGCACGAAUGGCGUAAUGAUGGCCAGGCUGUCUCCACCCGAGACUCAGUGAAAUUGAACUCGCUGUGAAGAUGCAGUGUACCCGCGGCAAGACGGAAAGACCCCGUGAACCUUUACUAUAGCUUGACACUGAACAUUGAGCCUUGAUGUGUAGGAUAGGUGGGAGGCUUUGAAGCGUGGACGCCAGUCUGCGUGGAGCCAACCUUGAAAUACCACCCUUUAAUGUUUGAUGUUCUAACGUUGGCCCCUGACCGGGGUUGCGGACAGUGUCUGGUGGGUAGUUUGACUGGGGCGGUCUCCUCCCAAAGCGUAACGGAGGAGCACGAAGGUUAGCUAAUCCUGGUCGGACAUCAGGAGGUUAGUGCAAUGGCAUAAGCUAGCUUGACUGCGAGCGUGACGGCGCGAGCAGGUGCGAAAGCAGGUCAUAGUGAUCCGGUGGUUCUGAAUGGAAGGGCCAUCGCUCAACGGAUAAAAGGUACUCCGGGGAUAACAGGCUGAUACCGCCCAAGAGUUCAUAUCGACGGCGGUGUUUGGCACCUCGAUGUCGGCUCAUCACAUCCUGGGGCUGAAGUAGGUCCCAAGGGUAUGGCUGUUCGCCAUUUAAAGUGGUACGCGAGCUGGGUUUAGAACGUCGUGAGACAGUUCGGUCCCUAUCUGCCGUGGGCGCUGGAGAAUUGAGGGGGGCUGCUCCUAGUACGAGAGGACCGGAGUGGACGCAUCACUGGUGUUCGGGUUGUCAUGCCAAUGGCACUGCCCGGUAGCUAAAUGCGGAAGAGAUAAGUGCUGAAAGCAUCUAAGCACGAAACUUGCCCCGAGAUGAGUUCUCCCUGAGACUUUAAGUCUCCUGAAGGAACGUUAAAGACGAUGACGUUGAUAGGCCGGGUGUGUAAGCGCAGCGAUGCGUUGAGCUAACCGGUACUAAUGAACCGUGAGGCUUAACCUU
rnacentral:rRNA from 1 species